CCUACGGGAGGCAGCAGUGGGGAAUAUUGGACAAUGGGGGCAACCCUGAUCCAGCCAUGCCGCGUGUGUGAAGAAGGCCCUCGGGUUGUAAAGCACUUUCAGUGAGGAAGAACGCCUGGUGGUUAAUACCCAUCAGGAAAGACAUCACUCACAGAAGAAGCACCGGCUAACUCCGUGCCAGCAGCCGCGGUAAUACGGAGGGUGCGAGCGUUAAUCGGAAUUACUGGGCGUAAAGCGCGCGUAGGUGGCUUGAUAAGCCGGUUGUGAAAGCCCCGGGCUCAACCUGGGAACGGCAUCCGGAACUGUCAAGCUAGAGUGCAGGAGAGGAAGGUAGAAUUCCCGGUGUAGCGGUGAAAUGCGUAGAGAUCGGGAGGAAUACCAGUGGCGAAGGCGGCCCUCUGGACUGACACUGACACUGAGGUGCGAAAGCGUGGGUAGCAAACAGGAUUAGAUACCCGGGUGGUC
rnacentral:rRNA from 1 species